GGGUGAGUAACACGUAUCCAACCUGCCGAUGACUCGGGGAUAGCCUUUCGAAAGAAAGAUUAAUACCCGAUGGCAUAGUUCUUCCGCAUGGUAGAACUAUUAAAGAAUUUCGGUCAUCGAUGGGGAUGCGUUCCAUUAGCUUGUUGGCGGGGUAACGGCCCACCAAGGCAUCGAUGGAUAGGGGUUCUGAGAGGAAGGUCCCCCACAUUGGAACUGAGACACGGUCCAAACUCCUACGGGAGGCAGCAGUGAGGAAUAUUGGUCAAUGGGCGCUAGCCUGAACCAGCCAAGUAGCGUGAAGGAUGACUGCCCUAUGGGUUGUAAACUUCUUUUAUAUGGGAAUAAAGUGCAGUAUGUAUACUGCUUUGCAUGUACCUUAUGAAUAAGGAUUGGCUAACUCCGUGCCAGCAGCCGCGGUAAUACGGAGGAUCCGAGCGUUAUCCGGAUUUAUUGGGUUUAAAGGGAGCGUAGGCGGGUUGUUAAGUCAGUUGUGAAAGUUUGCGGCUCAACCGUAAAAUUGCAGUUGAUACUGGCAUCCUUGAGUACAGUAGAGGUAGGCGGAAUUCGUGGUGUAGCGGUGAAAUGCUUAGAUAUCACGAAGAACUCCGAUUGCGAAGGCAGCCUGCUGGACUGUAACUGACGCUGAUGCUCGAAAGUGUGGGUAUCAAACAGGAUUAGAUACCCUGGUAGUCCACACAGUGAACGAU
rnacentral:rRNA from 1 species